UCCACUUGGGCUUCCUUGCCCCUCCCAGGCCUGGUUUCCUGGCCUGGGAGUCCUACUUUAUUUCUGUUCUUUUUCUCCUCAAUGAACUUUUUCUUUCUCAAAACAAACCUGCCUCUUCUCGCUUGCUUGCCUGAGCGUCUGUGAAGUUCCUGCUGUGGCUUCAUGAGACACCAACCCGUGGGGGUCUAGUGGCUGGGGCUCAGCGCUGCCCCUGCAGCCUGGGAUCUGUUCCUGGCUGGGAGACUAGGCCUGACAAUUCCAGUAUCAGUACUAUUAACUAUUCCCAUCACCACACAGAGUAUCUUUCCAUUUAUUUCUGCUUUUCAUUUCUUUUACUGGCAUUUUCUAGUUUUUCAGUGUGCAGGUUUUUCUUCAUUAACUGUUUGCCCAGAACAUUCCGGACACAACAUUCCUGGAGGCUCCUCCUGGCUCCACACUGCGCCCACCUGGCAGGUCCAGAACAUUCCGGACACAACAUUCCUGGAGGCUCCUCCUGGCUCCACACUGCGCCCACCUGGCAGGUCCAGCAGCUGUGACUGGACAUGGAAAUAGAACGUCGCUCUGCCGAGAAUAUGGGAUUCACGCAAGAAACCCCAAAUAACUGGUGAAAGUGAGUCCCUUCAUGUCACUUGAUGGGGAUCCCAAGGCCUUUUAAUGCUAUGCUAGAGGAAUGAAGACAUGCAGGUUUGAAAUGG